CACAAAUUCGAAGAUCUUCUGCUGAACAAAACUCAUCGAUUCAAAUUAGCAGCCUGCAGCGAUUACAAAACGCAAUGCGGUAAUUGGAGCGAGGAAAAAGAAGCUUUUACGUACAUCACAAGUAUGGAUUCCAGAAGUGGGAUACAAGAUGAAACAUGGCUGAUUACGGGAGCAAUUGCUACUCUACUUGUCAUCGUCGUUGCAACGAUAGCGGCUUGGAACUUUCGCAAAAAGGCAUUGAAACGAAAGUUGAUCAAAGCAAGACUAGAGUACUUCAAUUUCGGGGCCCC